rnacentral:rRNA from 1 species
AGUGUGACGGGGUUACCCAAAGUGUUCAAUUUUGAACUGUGGUAGGUGAGUAAUGUUCCCUACUAGAAAGGAGAGGGCAAGGCUGGUGCCAGCCGCCGCGGUAAAACCAGCCCUUCAAGUGGUCGGGAUAAUUAUUGGGCUUAAAGUGUCCGUAGCCGGUUUAGUAAGUUCCUGGUAAAAUCGGGUAGCUUAACUAUCUAUAUGCUAGGAAUACUACUAUACUAGAGGGCGGGAGAGGUCUGAGGUACUACAGGGGUAGGGGUGAAAUCUUAUAAUCCUUGUUGGACCACCAGUGGCGAAGGCGUCAGACUGGAACGCGCCUGACGGUGAGGGACGAAAGCCAGGGGAGCGAACCGGAUUAGAUACCCGGGUAGUCCUGGCCGUAAACGAUGCAUACUAGGUGAUGGCACGGCCAUGAGCCGUGUCAGUGCCGUAGGGAAACCGUUAAGUGUGCCGCCUGGGAAGUACGGUCGCAAGGC